UCGGGUGACAGGGAGACAGGUGGUGCAUGGUUGUCGUCAGCUCGUGUCGUGAGAUGUUGGGUUAAGUCCCGCAACGAGCGCAACCCCUACGUUUAGUUGCUAACGCGUGAAGGCGAGCACUCUAGACGAACUGCCGUUGACAAAACGGAGGAAAGGUGGGAUGACGUCAAAUCAUCAUGCCCCUUAUCGUUCUGGGCUACACACGUGCUACAAUGGCCGGUACAGACGGACGCAAAGCCGCGAGGUGGAGCAAAUCCUAAAAAGCCGGUCUCAGUUCGGAUUGCAGGCUGCAAUUCGCCUGCAUGAAGUCGGAAUCGCUAGUAAUCGCAGGUCAGCAUACUGCGGUGAAUACGUUCCCGGGCCUU
rnacentral:rRNA from 1 species